UUGGUGUUGGUGGCACGACGGGCUGUGCUUGUUUAUGAGUCGAAACGAGAUUUUCAAAAUCGUGCGUCAACAACGCGCACUCGGUUCGCGCUGAUGGCGUUUUAAGGGCCCGAUGACAAAACAUUCGAAAAGUGUGUUUUCUUUACGAAAUGCAAAAAUCUUCACAUCGAAAACUGAUACCAACAUUGGUGUGUAUAAGUACAGCUAUACAAUCGUUGUAAUCUUUAUGCUGCGGAAAACCUGAAGGUAUGAAUCUGGGCUUAUUAACCAAUUUCACCAAGACCCCCAAUCGAAAAGAUAAAAAUUGUGGACUGCUGGGAAGCCAAUGAUUACCUUUGGCAUUCGAGAUUACUAUAUAUGACAACCUUGUAGGUCAGAUCUUUGGUGAAACUAGAUUGACAGACACACUCGAGACAAAAUCUACUGCUUAGACUGGCAACAUACAACAUUGCUUCAGGACAAAUAGUUGGAUUACUAUUGUUGCUGAGGAAUAAACGUAUACUGACAAGGAACCUCGGAUCCUUUCAAGACUUCAACGAGCCAAGAACAAAAUUUCGUCAUCGAUUCCUUGUUGUUAUCGAUAUGGCACUAACGUAAAUGCAAUUACCAUUUGUUUCAAGGUCGAAAACAUGAAAACUAACAAUGUUAUAUCCAUGCAUAUACCAGCUUAAUAGGGAUUGGUUACCAUAAACAAAAAUUAUUCUGUUUACAACACACCAUGGGAAUUUAAUCCAUAUACAUGGUUAAACAUGCAAUUUCUUGUGAAACUUAUAUGUAUACACAGGCAUCAGUGAACUAAAAAAAGACCUCAUAUUAUAACAACCAGCUCAAUAAAAGUUAUAUUACGUAUGU